rnacentral:rRNA from 1 species
UACGUAGGCAGCGAGCGUUGUCCGGAAUUAUUGGGCGUAAAGAGCUCGUAGGCGGUCUGUCACGUCGGCUGUGAAAACCCGAGGCUCAACCUCGGGCCUGCAGUCGAUACGGGCAAACUAGAGUACUGCAGGGGAGACUGGAAUUCCUGGUGUAGCGGUGAAAUGCGCAGAUAUCAGGAGGAACACCGGUGGCGAAGGCGGGUCUCUGGGCAGUAACUGACGCUGAGGAGCGAAAGCGUGGGGAGCGAACAGG